rnacentral:sRNA from 1 species
AUUUUGCGGGGCGGCCACGUGAGGGACGCACGUUCAGCGGGGCUCUCACGUGACCCGGGCGCGCUGCGGCCGCCCGCGCGGACCCGGCGAGAGGCGGCGGCGGGAGCGGCGGUGAUGGACGGGUCCGGGGAGCAGCCCAGAGGCGGGGGUGAGGCGGGAGGCAGACGGGCGGGAGGAGGGCGAGCCCCCUCGCCGGCCCGUCCCAGGAUCCUUCCUACCGGCCUGGGGCUGUGCGAUCUCCAAGCACUGAGGGGCAGAAACUCCCGGAUCGGGCGCUGCCAGCCUCCAGCCCCCUCCGUCCUCGGAGGUUCCUGGCUUUCUGAUCCCCGUGCCCCGAUCCCUGACUCUCUGGCGCUCUCGGACCCCCGAGAAUCAGGGGAUCUUGGAAGCCAAGCCCCCGGGCAGGCCCGGGCUUGUCGCCCGCACCACUUCCUGCCUCUGGCACUGGUGGGAGGGGCGGGUCUCGCCUCUGCCCCCUCAGGCCAGGGGUCUGGAUGCAUUUAGCGUUCCCCUAGCCUCUUUCCCCGGGGAGAAUGUAGGAUACAGGCGCAGCCUCCUGGCCUUUCUCCAUCAGGGACUCAGUUGUCUGGGCACCCCGUCACUUUAUCUGCUAGGGUCCCAGAAGUCCAGGGUCCCCAGCUCUGUCUUCCCUCAGGGGCCGUGAGCCUCCACAGUCUCCUGAUCCCCUAGAACCCAAGAGUCCAGGCACCUCUUCCCUUCCUUUCUCCUCUAGGGCCCACCAGCUCUGAGCAGAUCAUGAAGACAGGGGCCCUUUUGCUUCAGGGUUUCAUCCAGGAUCGAGCAGGGCGAAUGGGGGGGGAGGCACCCGAGCUGGCCCUGGACCCGGUGCCUCAGGAUGCGUCCACCAAGAAGCUGAGCGAGUGUCUCAAGCGCAUCGGGGACGAACUGGACAGUAACAUGGAGCUGCAGAGGAUGAUUGCCGCCGUGGACACAGACUCCCCCCGAGAGGUCUUUUUCCGAGUGGCAGCUGACAUGUUUUCUGACGGCAACUUCAACUGGGGCCGGGUUGUCGCCCUUUUCUACUUUGCCAGCAAACUGGUGCUCAAGGCCCUGUGCACCAAGGUGCCCGAACUGAUCAGAACCAUCAUGGGCUGGACAUUGGACUUCCUCCGGGAGCGGCUGUUGGGCUGGAUCCAAGACCAGGGUGGUUGGGACGGCCUCCUCUCCUACUUUGGGACGCCCACGUGGCAGACCGUGACCAUCUUCGUGGCUGGAGUACUCACCGCCUCACUCACCAUCUGGAAGAAGAUGGGCUGAGGCCCCCAGCUGCUUUGGACUGUGUUUUUCCUCCAUAAAUUAUGGCAUUUUUCUGGGAGGGGUGGGGA